rnacentral:rRNA from 1 species
GACGAACGCUGGCGGCGUGCUUAACACAUGCAAGUCGAACGGUAAGGCCCUUCGGGGUACACGAGUGGCGAACGGGUGAGUAACACGUGGGUGAUCUGCCCUGCACUUCGGGAUAAGCCUGGGAAACUGGGUCUAAUACCGGAUAGGACCACUGCCUGCAUGGGUGGUGGCGGACAGCUUUUGCGGUGUGGGAUGGGCCCGCGGCCUAUCAGCUUGUUGGUGGGGUGAUGGCCUACCAAGGCGACGACGGGUAGCCGGCCUGAGAGGGUGACCGGCCACACUGGGACUGAGAUACGGCCCAGACUCCUACGGGAGGCAGCAGUGGGGAAUAUUGCACAAUGGGCGCAAGCCUGACGCAGCGACGCCGCGUGAGGGAUGACGGCCUUCGGGUUGUAAACCUCUUUCAGCACCGACGAAGCGCAAGUGACGGUAGGUGCAGAAGAAGGACCGGCCAACUACGUGCCAGCCGCCGCAGUAA